ACGGCCUCUUACCAGGUGAUACUGAGGAGGGCCGGACCCUUUUUUUUGUUUGUUUCUCUCUUUACUGUUCAAAGAAGAGGUGGUUUUGUUAAGUGUAUAUGCACUUUUUUUGAGAAAGAAAGGAUAUAAACAUAGUGGUUGUCUAACGAGAUACUAUGCAGAAUAAGAUCUUCAGGUAAGUCACAUAUUGCGCAUUUACUGCUUUCGAAUUUUUGAUCUUGGAUUUAUGCUUUAUCGACUUAUUUCAUAUCAU
rnacentral:lncRNA from 1 species